CAAACACCGUGUAUCUUUUUGAGAAAGCUGGGUUAAACUUAAAUCCCCAGUUCCAAGAACCCGCAUUUCGCAUACAUGUCAACAAGAGCCAGGGAAACCAUGAUCUCCAUGUAAUAUCAAUUACGAUCAACACAAACAUGUAUCUCGCUCGUUGCCUAGCCGAACACCUGUCAAUUGAGCAGAAGCUGCAAGUACCAAAAUCAGUCGCCACCAACAAAAUCUCCCCCGAUGUCGGCUCAUCUUCCGACCACUGUAACCAAGCAAAAUCUGUCAAUAAGUUCCUUCUAAUUUAUUUACUAAUAUUCCUCAAAUUUUUAAUAUUAUACAGGUCACAACAAAUCAAGGAGAUUUAUGAAUGAAAUCUGUCUG
rnacentral:lncRNA from 1 species